CCUCAAGCACGCCGCCUCUGCAUCGUUACCCAUCGGGAGACAUCAGCUCAGCUCCUCAGUUUUUUUAUAGCGUUACUUUUCAACUCCCCCCUCCAGGGGCAACGUCAGCAAAAAGGACAGACUCAAUUUAUUCAAAGCUCCAGCUGUGUAAUUACUGCGUAAACUUUCAUCACAUCGUUCGGAAUGGCGGAAGAUGGAUGUGCUAAAUCAGAGGCCCAUUGGAGUUGCGGGGUAUCAUUAGGCGGGACGACUUAUAAGAAGGAGAGCGACAGUGACAGAUAUUCGGGGAGACCUGUCACACUUAAGAGAACCACAACACACACUCAGGGAAACAGCAGUACAGAGCUCUGCAGAGGCGACCCUGAAGCACCCCAUGACGGACCAGCAUGGCGGGCUACAAGCGGGCCCGCGCCGACGCGUCUGCCUGAAUGAGCGGGAAAAGGCUCCUCCCCGCCUCCCGCUCACAGGAUUAGCGCGUUUGCACAUCAGCCUAAAAAUAGCCCUCCAAUAAUAUAUUUAACUGGAGUAGCAUCGCACCGGGCGGCUAAGGGAAGUGCGCCUUCUCCGCCGGGAGAUGUUCUCCGCACUGCAGUCUGCCGCAUCUGAGGCGGCCUCGUUUCCUGACAAGAGAGGACGACUCUUCUUAAGAAAGGAAAAUUGGGAGGGGGGGGGUUCGCAACUCGGCUCUCAGCCCAUUAUGCGUGAAGCACUUUCCGCGCUCAGAAUCGUGGCUGAAUGCACACAUGCAAAACAAAAAAGCAGAACAUCUGCUUUAGCGUCGAACCCGAGCACGCUCUCUUGGUCCUGGCCCAGAAAGACCUGCUGUAUGUUUAGCUGUAACUUCUCAAACGGACCAAGAAGUGCCUGUAAUGACUGAGGAGAUCAUUUGAAGAAAUAGCCGUUACAUCAUGUGUUGUUGCUGAACUGAAGCUAAACGUAAACCAUGGACAGUCAACAGAGGCACAUACAGGGGCGGGACCACAGGGGCACAGACAGAGGCGGGGCCACAGGGGCACAGACAGAGGCGGGGCCACAGGGGCACUAGCCCUACCUGAAAGUUGAUUGGUCCCCGGAGUUCCCGCUCCCCUGUCACUCACUAAAUCAAAGCAUAUCUUUGGCUACUGAUAAGGUUGGCCCCUUCAUAUGAAUUGUGGCCCCUCUUAGUAUCUUAGUAUCACCCCUGUCGGUAACAGAUAAUUUUACAAUUAUGCCCGGUUCUCUGAAUAGAGACAUACACGUCCCCACCCGCCUCUCGCUCCCUUUUUUUUGGGGGGG